UGAACGCUGGCGGCGUGCCUAAUACAUGCAAGUCGAGCGAACGGACGAGAAGCUUGCUUCUCUGAUGUUAGCGGCGGACGGGUGAGUAACACGUGGAUAACCUACCUAUAAGACUGGGAUAACUUCGGGAAACCGGAGCUAAUACCGGAUGAUAUUUUGAACCGCAUGGUUCAAAAGUGAAAGACGGUCUUGCUGUCACUUAUAGAUGGAUCCGCGCUGCAUUAGCUAGUUGGUAAGGUAACGGCUUACCAAGGCAACGAUGCAUAGCCGACCUGAGAGGGUGAUCGGCCACACUGGAACUGAGACACGGUCCAGACUCCUACGGGAGGCAGAAGUAGGGAAUCUUCCGAAAUGGGCGAAAGCCUGACGGAGAAACGCCGCGGGAGUGAUGAAGGUCUUCGGAUCGUAAAACUCUGUUAUUAGGGAAGAACAUAUGUGUAAGUAACUGUGCACAUCUUGACGGUACCUAAUCAGAAAGCCACGGCUAACUACGUG
rnacentral:rRNA from 1 species